rnacentral:rRNA from 1 species
GUGGGGAAUCUUGCGCAAUGGGCGAAAGUCUGACGCAGCCAUGCCGCGUGAAUGAUGAAGGUCUUAGGAUUGUAAAAUUCUUUCACCGGGGACGAUAAUGACGGUACCCGGAGAAGAAGCCCCGGCUAACUUCGUGCCAGCAGCCGCGGUAAUACGAAGGGGGCUAGCGUUGCUCGGAAUUACUGGGCGUAAAGGGCGCGUAGGCGGACAGUUUAGUCAGAGGUGAAAGCCCAGGGCUCAACCUUGGAAUUGCCUUUGAUACUGGCUGUCUUGAGUACGGGAGAGGUGAGUGGAACUCCGAGUGUAGAGGUGAAAUUCGUAGAUAUUCGGAAGAACACCAGUGGCGAAGGCGACUCACUGGCCCGUUACUGACGCUGAGGCGCGAAAGCGUGGGGAGCAAACAGGAUUAGAUACCCGUGUAGUCC